rnacentral:rRNA from 1 species
AUGAAUGCAUUAUGCUGGAACUGUCGGGGUUUGGGCAAAGCCGCGACGGUUCAGGAAAUUCGCAAAUUCGCGAAUAAGUUUGCCCCUACCCUAAUGUGUAUCGUAGAAACUCAGAUAGAUGGAACUAGGGUAGAAGCUUUAGCUGCCUCAUUCGGCUAUGAUAAUGGAUAUGCUAUUGAUAGUCAAGGUAGAAGUGGUGGCAUUGGUGUUUUUUGGAACAAUGAAAUAAAACUUGAGAUUUUAGGUUACUCAGUGUAUCAUGUUGAUUGCUCCGUGACAGAAUCAGGCAUGGAUCUGUGGAGAUUAACUGUAGUGUAUGGAGAAUCUCAAACACACCUCAGAUCACAAACAUGGGACAGAGAAUCUGAGCACGCUCAAUAA